AACGCGAAGAACCUUACCUGCCCUUGACAUCCACGGAAUCUUGCAGAGAUGCGGGAGUGCCGAAAGGAACCGUGAGACAGGUGCUGCAUGGCUGUCGUCAGCUCGUGUUGUGAGAUGUUGGGUUAAGUCCCGUAACGAGCGCAACCCCUGUUCCCAGUUACCAGCGCGUUAUGGCGGGGACUCUGGGGAGACUGCCGGUGAUGAACCGGAGGAAGGCGGGGACGACGUCAAGUCAUCAUGGCCUUUAUGGGCAGGGCUACACACGUGCUACAAUGGGGCGUACAGAGGGUUGCCAACCCGCGAGGGGGAGCCAAUCCCGAAAAGCGUCUCUUAGUCCGGACUGGAGUCUGCAACUCGACUCCACGAAGUCGGAAUCGCUAGUAAUCGCGAAUCAGAAUGUCGCGGUGAAUACGUUCCCGGGCCUUGUACACACCGGACACGC
rnacentral:rRNA from 1 species